GAUGAACGCUGGCGGCGUGCCUAAUACAUGCAAGUCGAGCGAACAGAUGAGGAGCUUGCUCCUCUGACGUUAUCGGCGGACGGGUGAGUAACACGUGGAUAACCUACCUAUAAGACUGGGAUAACUUCGGGAAACCGGAGCUAAUACCGGAUAAUAUAUUGAACCGCAUGGUUCAAUAGUGAAAGACGGUUUUGCUGUCACUUAUAGAUGGAUCCGCGCCGCAUUAGCUAGUUGGUAAGGUAACGGCUUAACAAGGCAACGAUGCGUAGCCGACCUGAGAGGGUGAUCCGACACACUGGAACUGAGAAACGGUCCCGACUCCUACGGGAGGCCGCAGUAGGGAAUCUUACGCGAUGGGGGAAAGCCUGACGGAGCAACGCCGGGUGAGUGAUGAAGGUCUUCGGCUCGUAAAACUUUGUUAUUAGGGAAGAACAAAUGUGUAAGUAACUAUGAACGUAUUGACGGUACCUAAUCAAAAAGCCACGGCUAACUACGUG
rnacentral:rRNA from 1 species